ensembl:lncRNA
CCUGGGUCCCCGGCCAGGGAUGCGGCCGGAUGCGGCCGGAACUCCGGUUGCCAGGGCGACGCUCCCGGCUCCAUCGCCGCGGCAACGCGACCGGGGAGGGGGCGCCGGAGCCGGACUGACGGCUCCGUCCUGCCUCUUCUCCCCCUUGUCCUCCCUCCGUCCGUCCGUCCCUCCCUCCCUCCCUCUGUCCGUUCCUCCCUCUCUCCUUCCACCAUCUCCGUCUGCUCCUCCGUCUCCCCGGCCUCCGUCCCUCCACUGCUCCAUCCCUCUCUCCCUCCGCUGCUCCAUCCGCUCCUCCAUCUGCUCUUCCAUCCCUCCCUCUCUCCGUCCCUCUUUUCUGCACCGUCCAUCCUCCAUCCGUCCCUCUGUCCAUCACCGUGUCCCUCUUCCCCCUCAUCCCCCGUCCAUCCCUUUUCCCUCCUUCUGUCCAUCCCUCCAUCCGUCCCAUUCCUCUUCCCCAUCGUCCAUCCCUCCCUUGGUCCCUCUCCGUGUCCAUCCCUCCUCCCUCCCUCCACGUAUUUGUCCGUCCAUCCCUCCUCCCCCUCAUCCACCCCUCCGUCCCUCCAUCCUUCUGCCCAUCCCUCCAUCUGUUCCUCCAUCCAUCCCUCUCUUCUUCCUCAUCAUCCCUCUGUCCAUCCCUCCUCCUCCUCAUCUCUGCAUCUGUCUCUCUGUCCAUCCCACUUCUCCGUUGUCCUUGUGUCCGUCUCUCUGUCCAUUCCUGCUCCCCAUCCUCUCUCCAUGGGUGUCUCUGUCCAUCCCUCCUCCUCGUGUCUCCAUCCAUCUCUCCAUCCAUUGCUCUCUUCCACUGUCCUUCUGUCCAUCUCUCUGCCCAUCCCUCCUCCCCAUCCUCUCUCCCUCCAUCUCUCUGACCACUUCUCUCCUUCAUUGUCCCUCUGGCCAUCUUUGUCCAUCUCUCCAUCCAUCUUUUUUCUCUCUUGUUCCUCUAUCCAUCUUUCCUCCUGUCUCCAUCCUUCUCUCUGUCUUCUUCAUUGUCCCUACGUCCAUCUCUCCUCCUCAUCCUCCCUGCAUCCAUCUCUCUGUCCAUUUCUCUCCUCCGUUCUCCCUGUUCAUCUCUCCAUCCAUCCUUCUUCUACCUUGUCCCUCUGUCCAUCCCUCCUCCUCCCAUCUCCAUCCAUCUCUCCAUUCAUCUCUCUUCUCCAUUGACCCUGUGUCCAUCCCUCCUCCUCACAUCUCCACCCGUCACCCUCCUCCACUGUCCCUGUGUCCAUCUCUCUGUCCAUCCCUCUGUCCCUUUCUCCUCCUUGUCACCCUUCUGUCCAUCCAUCCUUCUUCUCCAUUGACCCUGUGUCCAUCCCUCUGUCCAUCCCUCCUUCUCCCACCUCCGUCCAUCUCCCCGUCCAUCCCUCUUCUCCAUUGACCCUGCGUCCAUCCCUCUGUCCAUCCCUCUGUCCAUCCCUCCUCCUCCUAUCUCCGUCCAUCUUUCCAUCCAUCCCUCUUCUUUCUUGACCCUGUGUCCAUUGCUCUCCUCCACUGUCCCUAUGUCCAUCUCUCCGUCCAUCCCUCUUCUCCGUUGACCCUGUGUCCAUCCCUCUGUCCAUCCCUCCUCCUCAUGUCUCCAUCCAUCGCUCUCCUCCGCUGUCCCUCCAUGCACCUCCCCGUCCAUCCGUGUCCUCCCCCGUCCCCGUCCCCGUGUCCGUCCAUCCGUCCGCCCGCCCUUGCAGCCCCGCCGCCGCUGCCGCCGCCGCCAUGGAGCGCNNNNNNNNNNNNNNNNNNNNNNNNNNNNNNNNNNNNNNNNNNN